UACGAAGGGGGCUAGCGUUGCUCGGAAUCACUGGGCGUAAAGGGUGCGUAGGCGGGUCUUUAAGUCAGGGGUGAAAUCCUGGAGCUCAACUCCAGAACUGCCUUUGAUACUGGCGAUCUUGAGUCCGGGAGAGGUGAGUGGAACUGCGAGUGUAGAGGUGAAAUUCGUAGAUAUUCGCAAGAACACCCGUGGCGAAGGCGGCUCUCUGGGACGGUACUGACGCUGAGACGCGAAAGCGUGGGGAGCGAACAGG
rnacentral:rRNA from 1 species